GAGCGCAACCCUUACCGUUAGUUACCAUCAGGUUAAGCUGGGGACUCUAGCGGGACUGCACCGUAAGGUGAGAGAAGGUGGGGAUGACGUCAAAUCAGCACGGCCCUUAUGUCCAGGGCUACACACGUGUUACAAUGGCCGGUACAAAGGGCAGCUACUUCGCGAGAAGAUGCUAAAUCUCGAAAGCCGGUCUCAGUUCGGAUCGAAGUCUGCAACCCGACUUCGUGAAGCUGGAUUCGCUAGUAAUCGCGUAUCAGCCAUGGCGCGGUGAAUACGUUCCCGGGCCUU
rnacentral:rRNA from 1 species